AAUGAAAAUCCCUGCAAGUUUUGAAAGUUUGGAUUGGAUUUGUUGUGCAGAGACUUUGAAGUUCAAAAUCAAGAAGCUACAUAUAAUCGAACGGGCAUAAAAAAAAAUAUACCAUGUUACUACAUUAAGUACGUUUUGCAAUCAAUGUAGCAGAAGCAUUUGCAUUUCUGGUUGCUUCAUUGGAAUGAAUAAAAAGGUGCUUCUACGAUGUACAUGAUGCAGCAAAAUAAGUAAUGAACUUUGGAACGAAUAAAAGGCAAAUAAUGCCUAUAUUCAUGGUCGGUCAUGGAGGUCAUUGCCUCACACGAUACCAGAUUUGUUACACGACGUAAAGGUAACCAUAUCACACAAGACCCGAAGGAGAAUAUCACAAGAUAAAAUGAAAGUGUACUGCAAUAUAUCCGAUAUGCGUCUUUGGCUGGCAGUGAUUCUUGUCGGCACUCUUAUGAUGGGAAACGUGUCUGCUCAGGCACCCAUACCUGACCGACCACCAGGCUUCGUCUAUAAACCGUCCCCUGAGAAUGCGGCGGCUCCCGUCAUACUGGAGGCAUGGGUAGACCUUGUCUGUCCCGAUUCUAAGGAUGCUUGGCUUACCUAUCAGAAGGUGGCGGAUUUCUAUGGACCGAGGAAGCUCAGGUUCUCUGCUCUUAUGUUCCCGCUUCCUUAUCACCGGGCUGCCAUGAUGGCUGCACAGGCCGCAUUUAUCGCCGAUGAACUUAACCCAGAGAGGACAUAUCCAUUUUUCGAUAAUGCCUUCUCAAAGCAGCCAGCCCUUUCAGACGAUUCUAUCUUCAACCGUACACAGGCAUACGUUGUAGAGACAUUAGCAGCAUGGGCUGGAGAAGUUGGGUAUGACCGAACAGAAUUUGCUUCUCGUCUCGCGCGGUCUGAUGCGACCCAAUGGUUGGCAAGAGUCCAGUUCAAGUAUGGUGGAACUCGUGGAGUGUUCGGGACACCCCAGACAUACGUGAAUGGUGCCUUAGUAUAUUCCAAUCCAAAAUGGACCUUAGAGGACUGGCAAAACAUUAUUGAUCCCCUUCUGUCAGGAAACAGGGCAAGACGUUACUCAGACGGAAACCAAGGCUAUCUCGACUAAAAAAGGUGGAUUACAAUGGUUCAAAACUUUCUCGUUUGAAUAAGAUAACACAUGAAUGUUAUUCUCAUUUAAGUUCAUCCUUAGCACACCCCGAAUUAAGUAGUCAGAUGUGGAUGAUGAUUAUGUUGAUGACGAUGAUGCAUUAUGCCUGAAAUGGUGAUCUGGUUCACAGAGAUGACACAACUUUGGCUAUCAUGCUUUGCCAAUAUUUUAAUCCUUCUUUGCAUGAGCACCAUUCCCAUGCCUUCCACAUCUUUCCCUUUAUCUCUCUCUUCUCGAAAUGAGCUCAGGGGAGUGUUUCAUCAACAUUUUCAUCCGACAAGUUGUCAGGGGCCUGUUGCAGAAAGAGUUGCGUUUAAACGCAAGCCAAAAAAUCAAUCGCAAGUCCCAAAUGCGCGCUGUUGAUUGGUUGAAAAUCAAGUUGCGCAUGAUUUUUACAAUUGCGAUUGAUUGCAACUCUUUCUGCAACGGGACCCAGAUCUGACAUCUUUCUCUGAUGUUAAUUGGCCGAGAGAUACUGUUACUAUGGUAACUGUCGGAUAAAAUGGGACUUGUCGGAUAAAACGUCCGACAAGACCUUUUAUGAAACGCUCCCCUGGAUGUUCAUACAAAAGACCUUCUUCCAAAAAUCAUACUUCUUGACCCCCCCCCCCGUGAAAGCAAGAUUCUCUUUUAAUUUCUGAAGUGUAAAUUGACUAACUUCAAUUGCCAUAUAAGGUUUGCCACGGCAAUCAGGUUUCAGAAGUAAAUAUCCAUCUCGACGUGCUUAACAGAUAUUUCUGAUAGUUAUACGAUAACCUUGACGAAGGCCGAGUAACAGGCCCACAUUCAGCGGCGUAACAGGGGUCGGUGGCCAGGGGGGACAAGAGCCAAAAAUUUCCCGGUCAUAUCAUGGUAUGAACAGGCGUAAUGGUGUAAUGAGGCGACUAUUUUGAGAAGGCCAGAUAUUGCGUAUCGGGCAGAAUCUAUCUUUAAAAACAGUUGCGAGCGAGCGAAGCGAACGAGAACAUUUUUUUGGACCUUUUUAAUACAUAAAUCCAAUUUUGUGAUAGAUUUUGACAUGAUAUCCAGAAAACAAUAUAUUUCACUCUUCUCUCUUUAGAUUCCUUUUUUGUGGUCUGUACGAUACGCCACUGUGAACAGGAUUCUUUGUGGCAGUAGCCGCGUGAAGAGUAAAAAAAGAAGAAAAAAAAAACAGGGGAGCAGUAUAGCACAUGUGCUAAAAAGCUGCUUUAUAUAAGUCCCGAGCGAGCGAAGCGAGCGAGAAAAAAAAUCACCUUUUCGUGAGAAUCUUUUUUGAGCUAUUUUUUUACAUUAUAUUCAGUAAAUAAAAUCAUAUCCUACACUUUUCCUUUUCUUUCCUCCUUUUUUUAAAUUCUUGUUUGUAGAACUUUUUGGGGCCAUGGCCCAACCCUUCCAUACGCAGUGCUGUGCGGUUGGGGUCCGGGCGGAGCCCCCGAAACUUCUUGAUAUCAAAGCCAUUUAAACCUCGCAGAUUGCCGCUAUUUUAAUCAAAUUGCGGUCAUAUACAGAAUAUAGCUUUUACACAACACAUUUAUUCAACCCGGUUGCAUAAUGAACCAAAUAAUCUUAAGGGGCAAAACAUAGCAAUGCGGAAAAAUUUGUUUAAAAAAAAGUCGCCAGCAUGCAAAGCGAGCUGGAAAAAAAAUUGCCAAUUGAAAUUAAAUUCUAAUUAUGUGAUAGCUUUUUCCAUUAUAUUCAGCAAAUAACGCAUUUCAUUGUUUCCAUUCAUUUCAUGAUACGUUGUCUCCUACAAUUUCUUUUAUUUUCUCUUGGGUGUGGAACCAAGCCCCCCCCCCCCCCGCGCCUGUAUGCCAGUGAUUGAUUGUGAUUGAACGGGGGGCGUUAUAGAGCCAUUUGAAGGUUAUAAAUGAAGAGCCCCUACUGCGUGGGGUCUGGGGCAAAGCCCCGGUAGCUUAUUUGCAUAAAAUUUAGCAAGCUUAUAGCACAAUGUUGUAUGCAGUCCAUCUUUUUUCCCGCUCUUUAAUUUCAAUCAUCGGCAGCCCGGUCGUGUUAUCAUUUUUUUUCCUUGUCCCUUUUCUUUUCCAAUUUAGCUUUUGACUAAUUACUCUCUUCCUUCGUUUCCCGCUAUUGGUUGCCAUUUUGUCAUCUUUUAAUUCAUUUCCAACCGUGCUAUUGCAUUACAUAGGCCUAUUUCGGAAUGAUUUGUUCUUUCUCAAAUGUCAGUUCUUCUUUCGUACAUUUUCCCACUUUCCUUCCUUUUCCAUAAAAACAAAAAGUUUUUCCUCCUUUCCUUUCCCCUUUCCCUUUCUUUCUCCCUCCUUUUCUUUCUUUUUCCCGUUUUUCUUUUAUUUUCCCGGUGAAAUCCGCCAGGGGGGGCAACUUGCCCCCCCUGCCCCCCCGCCUGUUACGCCACUGCCCACAUUUGGAGAGCAAACCUUUCGAAAGUCAAAUUGCUAAGCAUGCUGAAUGGCUGAAUUGAACUGAAGUUUUCUUGGUUUAUUUCAUGUCUAUAUUCAUUUUUUAAUAUACAAAUAAAAUACACAAAUAAAUCAUAUACAGAUUAUGAUUGAAAUCAUCCAAAUAUACGAUAUAAUCCACAUGGCCGUACGCAUAUAUUUUUCCCCGGGGAGGGGGCAAUUAGAGGUGUAAAAUACCACGGGGACGCGUUUGCAUAUUCUAAAGUGAACUUG